GGCAGCACAGAGCCCGAUGCGGGGCUUGAACUCACAGACCACGAGAUCGUGACCUGAGCUGAAGUUGGACAGUUAACCAACUGAGCCACCCGGGUACCCCAAAGUCAUUUUUUUUAAGUCCACUGACAUCACCUCAAAGGAAGUUGUGUGUUUCUUACAAAGAAAACUGCAGCAAAAAAUUUUAAAUUGUUUACUCUUUUUAUUUAGGUUUAGAUUUGGGAUAAGAGGGAGAAAACCUUAACAGAACAAAGGAGUUGUUGAUGUUAUGCCCAGUUAUCCAGAUAGGGUCAUGAUAGGCCUCAUGGUGGCCUGAGAGCAAAACAGACUACUUUGAGAAAUAAUUUGCCAGCAGUCUUCUUCAUUUCCGAAGCAUAUCUCCUCAAAGAGUUUUCUUGAAGAUGAUACAUAACUUGGGCAGGAAACGAUCUAUCCGAGGUUAAAAGUCCCACUGCAGGUGACUGUGAAGGAGAAAGUGGAAUUCUCAGCUCCGUCUCUGCUUGACUUGAUCAUAUAAGCUUAAUAUAAACAGCCCUGAGAAACAGGUCAGUAUUGCAAAUUAAAAAAAAAAACAAAACAAAACCCAAACCUAAGGAACAAGGAGAGAGGGGAAUUAGGUCUAGAUCGAAGUUUUAGCCUUACGCUAGCUAAAAAUAAUCACUUGAAGUUUAUUCAUGAAUAUUUCAAAAUAAAUGUUUGCUCCCACCCCUUCCAUCUCUGAAGUUCCAUUAUCCCUACAUGUUCCCAGCAGCUCCUACCUUCUACCCCCACUUGAAACUCACAAGUCUUUUUUCCCCUCUCUACAUACCUUUGGUAAACUCAGGGCUUUUUGGAACUCAGGAGCUUUGUAUGGGUUCCUUAAUUCACACCUGGAGUCACAACCUAGCAUUAUAGUUCCAGUUGUCUUGGGGGCAUCUCCUCUCAGACUUAUUGUCUUAUCUCAGCUUCACAGAUUGAAUGGAAUGAAGAUGUCUUGUCCCGUGUUGUACUAAAUCAGAAUACAUCCCAAUUCUUCCUUUUUCCCUGAAGACAACUGCAGUUCUGUGUUCUGAAGUUUUCUCCACGUACCUCUCUCACAUUUGCCUCUCUGUCUUCCUAUUUAUCUCCCUAAAUUUCAAGCUGCAGAUCAGACCAUAUGUCUUGUGGAUGAAUUUCUUUUGAAAUGGGAUUCUGAUGGCAGGGAAGCAAGAUCAUUUAGUAUGCUAGAUUUCCAGUAACCCCUAUAGCUGUAGACCAGGGGUCGGCCAGCUAGUGCCUAUAGCCAGAUGUGCUGCAGGCCUAUUUUUGUGAAUAAAAUUUACGGAACAAAGCCACACUCAUUUGUUUAUGUAUUGCCUAUGGCUAUUUUGCAGGACAGUGGCAGAGUUAAGUAGUUGCAAGGGAGACAGUCUGGCCCACAAUGUCUAAGAUAAUAUUUUACUGUCUGGUCCUUUACAGAAAAAAAUGUACCAACCUUUGACAUAGGCCAGAGAGCAAACUGGGUUUGGGUAACUUGUAUCAUACACGUGGUUGUUUUAAAAAUACGUCCAUAAAUCUUUUGAUACUCCUCUUUGAGAGGUAGAGCUUCAUUUUCCUCCCCUUGAAGUUUGGGCUGGACUUGCUUAGAAAUGGAAUCCAGCAGUGAUGGGCUGUCACUUCUGAGAUUAGGCUGUAAAAGGACAGGCUUCUGUUUUGGGUGUGCACUCUCCUGGAUCACUUGCUAUGGGAGAAGCUCUAUUGUGAGGAGACCGAGGCAGUCUUUGCUGAGAGAGACCCACAUGGCAAGUAGCUAUGGCUGGCAGCUAACGCUGAGGCUCCCCAGCCCACAGCCAUGUGGGUGAGCUUGGAAGCAGAUCCUUCAGCCCCAGUGGAGCCUUGCGAUCACUGCAGCCCCAGCCAACAGCUUGUCUGCUGCCUCAUUAGAGACCUUGAACCGGACCUGCUAAAUCCUAGGUUCCUCACACUCAGAAACCGUGUGGGACAAGCUGUUUGUUGUUCUAAGGUGCUGAGUUUAGGGGUAAUUUGUCACAUAGGAUUAUACAGCUAAUACAAUAAAGAGCUGCCCUGCUGCCUCUCCCCCGCCCCCCAACACGUACCCAUUACUGCCAGCAAGAUCACCCAGGGUCUUGUGCUGCCCCCACCCCGGGUCCAGAAAAUGAGGCUUGCCUUUUUGGAAUGAACACUUCUUGAAGAAAGCUCUGUGGGACUAGGUCGAACACAAAGCUUUCUCAUACAGAAUUUUGUUACCUGAACCACCCACAAGGUAAGUCUAUAGUAUGUGCCUAAAAGUUAUCUUGUCCAGUAUUAAACCAUCUUACCUACGACAACUAAUUGGGGGGAGAAAUUAGACUCUCGCAGAAAAGUGUUUGCUGUGGAAAAUGAUGCAAAAAGAGGCGGGAUAGGUGAUCAGUUUUCAAAGCUGGAAAAAAAAAAUCUCAAGAAAAUGAGAAAUAUUUCUACCUCAAAUGUCUUAGUUUCUAUCCUUAACAGGAGGCUGGUGACCCAUUGGUUCUAAAACGGCCUAUUCCAUUUCACAGGCAUUUGUGUCUUUCAAAAAAAGAGGAAAUUUUUUUCAAAGGUUCCAGAUCAGUUUGGUGAUGGCCCCUCCCAUUUAAAACAGCCAUUUUCUUAACACUAAGAAUUUGAAUAAUUAGAUCACUUUUCCUACAAAAGAUUUUCUGAUAACAAGGAAUGGGUCCCCUUUCACACUAUAAAUUCUACUCAAUUCUUGGCAUCAGCUUUAAGCAUGACUUUGAUGACAUUCCUUUAGCCAGAAUUGGGUAAGGUCCCGUAGGCAAUGGAUGUUAUUUCAAACCACUGUCUGGAAGCAAGCGGGAUAAAAGGUGGAUGUAGGGCUCCAUAAGGACCUGCCAAAUGGGGAGAAGGGUUCAUGCAGAAAGGGCAAACCAUUUCUCAGGUUUUCUAUUCCACUUUGUAAAGGAAAAGGGUUAUACUCCAGGGACAGAAGUUAACAAAGGACACCGCUCAUGUGCUGCAGUAAACAGCCUACCAUUUUUCAUAUGGACUGAAAUCAAGGCAAACAAGGUAAUCUUAACUCACUCUCAAUCUGACUGUUUGAUUAUAGUCAAAAACCUGGUGUGGUCUCUCCUGCUUCCCUUUCCUGUGACCACCCUGGGAGCUAUUGUAUGGAGAACCCUGACCCUUUCUCCUGAUAGCUCCUCUAAGUCCAUGACCAUUGCAGCAGGUCCUGCUGGAAGACAGUCAAGGGGUAGGAAGGACAGAAGAUGGUUACACCUGGGAAAUGGGGCCUGUGGGGAAGUGGGGGAGAGUGCUGAGGCGAGCUUUCACAGCAUUCAUAGGUCCUUUUGAAAUAUCUGAUUUUUUUUUUCUGACAAUGAUUAUGCAUUCCUUUUGUAAUGUUUCAUAAAAGAAGUCAAGGAAGCAACUUAAUCUUCUUUCUGCAAUUGUUGGCAUUCCUCUUCCUUCUGCUCAUGCCACCUUCUCACCAACCAUCCAUCAUCCAGUAUGUGGCAGAAAGCAGAUAUGACUGAACUGACUGCUUUUCAUAUUCCCCAACAGAAAGACAAGGUGAAAGUCAAAGAGAAGUGAUCAACAUGAAAAUAAAUGUUUAACCUCACAAGUAAUCAAAGCGUGCAAAUUAAAACAACAAUUGGUUGCCUUCAAAUGGUUGCUUUCAAAGAUGAAAAAGAAGGGUGAUAUUCGGUGCUAAGGGGGUGGUGGGGAUAUGGUCACUCUCAUAUCUGGUCUUAGAAGAGUAAGUUCGUAUACCUUUUUGAGCAAGAACCUGGCAGCAGUUACACCAAGUGGCAAAAAGCAGGUCACAAACCAGAGUGAUCUCUUGGUUUUGUAAAAAUACAUAUAUAUAUAUAUAUAUAUGUUAAAAAAAAGACAUGAAGAAUGUACAAAAAUUAAUAGUGGUUAUGCUUGGGUUGUGGAUAUUUGUCUUUAACAUUUGCAUUUAUGUUUUUCUAAGUUUUCUUAGAAACGUUAUAAUUUGAGAGAAAAUGCAUGUUAAUUUCCAGUUAUCAAGGGAGGGGGAAAAUGUAGGGAGGAAAGAAGGAUAUGGCAGGAAAAGAUUUAGUUUUAGCGGAAACGAGCAGACCUCUUAAAAUCAAGGUGGCUUGAGAAGAGGCUUGGUAGAGCAAACUCUGGUUCAGUGGAAUUAUCCAAAUGCACGUACAGUUUCAUGCCCUUUUCACUUUCCCAUUUAAAAAAAAAAAGGUCCCAACACCAUCAUACUCAGGUACAUAAGAUUAAAUUAUUUAAGCCUAGAAUGGCAUUUAGGGAAGUCUGGAGUUGUGGUUCAGAGGACAGAGCAUUCCUUGGAGUGUGGCCCAUACUAAGAGCCCUAUACUCAGUUGAGAUGGAUUUAUGAAGUGGGCACCAGAAAGCCCAGAAAUCUGUCCUGUCAUUUACACUUCUUGAAAAUUGAAGCCUCACUUAGAAAAUUGAAAAGGACCUUCUGCCCCACGCAAACUAUAGAAACCUGAAAGUGGUAAAGAGACUAUUCUUGAAUGUGAUUCCCAUUUCUCAGUACACUCUUUAUUGAGGUAUAUUUAAUCUAGUUUUACAGAGCUUGACUGAAGUGGGUGCAUGUGAUGGAAGUGUGACCAGAACUUGGAUUAGAGAAGACUGGGGAUCAAAGCCCUGGACAAGCUGCAGUGGAUGCCUUGGCUUGAGGAUCACCAGCGCAGAAUUUGACUCCUGUUCGUCUUUGAAUUUGUAGCUGGCAUAAUCCAGUGGGGCAGGAAGCAACUUGGGGAUUCAGACAUUUGCUUAUUUCUCCUUCUUGGUAAGUGUCUCCCCCAUUCACCAAACUGAGCCUCAGCCCUUUGCCAUUUGUCAUUUCUGUCAGCUGGCAGGCCACACCUGGUAGAACCAUGUCCCUCCCGCAUGUCAGAAGACAGAGGCAGUGUGGCAUAAGGGACUAUGGUCCAGGUCUGGCCAUUAGACAAGAAUGCGUGACAACCCUGUGAAUCUGGGAGUCUUUCUUUGUAAAAUAGCGAUAAUGAUUAUUCUUCUGCUUUUGCCAUAACAAAAGAACCUAGGCUGAAGGGCCUAAAUGAUAGAAAUGUGUUUCUCACAGUUCCUGGAGGCUCAAAGUCCUAGAUCAAGGUCUAGCAAUAUUUGGGUUUCUAGGAAGGACUUUUCUGGUUUGGAGACAGCCGCUUUGUCAUGGCCUUUGACAUGGUUUUUCCUCUGUCUCUUCUUCUGACACUAUCCUAUCGGAUGAGGCCGCAUGCACCCUUAGGACCUCAUUUUACCUUAAUUACCUCCCAAAGCCCUACAUGCCCCAAAUCACUGGGUCAUAUACCUUAAAAGGAUAAAUGUUAUGGUAUAUGAAUUGUAAUGCAAAAAAUAAACUCAACAUGCCAAAAAAUCCUACUCUGUAGGAUAAUUAAGAGGGUGAAAGGGACCUGUGUGCACAUAGCACAGUGCCUGGCAUAGAGCACCCCAUGGAUAAAAUAGUCCAUGUAGGGUCAGAAAAUGCGAAGGUUGUAAAGCCAUAAACCUGGUUCCACAAGCCUCGAAUCCUGUCUCCAACAUCCUCAAGGAUGUUCACUGCAUGGCUCUACUUCUUCCUCUGCUGUUCACAAUCUGCCGUCUGCAUCUUUCCUCGCCUUCGGGAGGUGGGUCAGGCAGGCACCCACCACCCUGGCUACCAUGUAAGCAGCCCGCGUGUAUGCCUCUGACCUUGUUCUCCCACAGACCUCCAUGUCUCUCCUGUUCCCUGUGCUGCCGUGUGCCCAGCUCUCCCCGCCUGCCCACAUCCAGAAGGCAAGGCCAGAAGGACACGACACUUCAGGCUUCAGCCUGGGCCCACUCCCAUCUUUUCCAGGUGCUUUGUCUUUAACCACAGGCCUGGUUUAUAGGGCAGAAAAACCAGCCUGUUUGGCUACGGGCUUCCCUCACCACAGGCUGGCCACUGAAGCCCAGGAUGAAGAAGCAAGGCUUUCCCUGGGGCUGGUUGUGAGGGCAGGUAACAGAUGGGUAGCAGAAUGCAGGUAGCAAGAGCUCGGGGCAGUGUGCUGUCCGGAUUUGUUCUCUCCCUGCUAGCUUCUUCCUUUCCAGCUGGAGUCAAAGUUGCAGCUCACCCGGGAUGGCAGCUCCUAUUGGCAGGAUAAAAAUACCCCUCAGUUUGACUGCUGAGGCCCAUGCAUGGCCAACUCAGCCAUUAAGGGCAAGGAGAGAGGAAAGAGUACGGAAUGCUGGUGACUUCCCUGCAGGGAAAGGUGGCCGUUGGAGUCUCCCGCCCACUUACACGUGGAUGAUGCAGGCUUCUAGUGCUCAGAGGAAGUUCCAGUCACACCGGUGCCCUCUCCAUCAGCAUGAAACCUCUUAUUAGCAUGUUUCUGACUUUUAUUGUGCAUCGACCCCUUUGAGAAUUUAUGGAAGCUCUGGACCAUUUCCUCAGGAAAAGAAAUCCACAGAGGUGCAUUUUCACACACACAAAACUACACAGCUCAGAGGAUGUACAGAACUCUUGAAGCUAAGAGGUCCAUAAAUCCCUGGGCCAGAAUAGAGUUUAUAAUAGGGAUGAAAGAGUUUAUAACAGCCAUCAGAAUAGCAAUGAACUGUAGGGAGAUAAUGGAAGCAAGGCUGUUGACAUGUCAAGUGCUGUGUCCUGAGAAUGCCUUCUGUUUGUGCGGGGGACAGGGGGCCAGCAGACGAUGCUCUAAAUGUGGUACAGACCCUUGGGGCAUCACAGGUCAGGUCCAGAAAUACCAGCAAGGAGACACCUCAGACCAAAAUCAAUAAAAGAGCUCCCUGGGAAGUGGCUGAAAAAGGAAGCUCCAGAGAAGCCCGGCCUCUACUGAUGAGGCAUUUCUAAAAUCAAUUGCCUCCUCCUUGGGUGGCAGAAGGGUCAGGAUACAGGCCCCUGUCGGGGUUGAGGGGUUUCCUGAGCACUUUUGACCAGCUCUCUGUUAGGGCAAAUUAUAAAAACGUUGCUCGCCCUGCUGUGAAGGCCCGUAGUUCCACCACUGAGAUUGUUGCUGGGGGUAUGUCCCAGAAGUGGGAAAAGGGCGUCUCACUGCACCCGGACAGACUCCUGAAGUGCUACAGGAGUGUCCGGCAAUGGGAGUAGAGAGGAAAAGGAAGAGAUGGAUCAAGAGCCUGUGGAGCCUCAGAAUUCAACUGAAGUCAGUCGUGUCUUCCAGGGAAGCACUGGUUCAGUGAGUAUGGUCAGAUGCUUGUGAACUCUACAUCUUGGCAUGUUGAGAACAGUGGGGCCCUCAGUCCGUUUCCUACUAGUUAAUUAUCAGAAGCCAGGACAUAGGUAUUAUAUUAAGGCCUUAAGUUCUAUUUUCAGUACAAAGAGGUGCAAUUGAUUAAAGUCCAGAUGAGUAUCAGCAGCAUCAGAGCAGGGAUGCUCACAGCUGGCUAAGCAACCUGGACUGCUGCAGGGGUCUGGCUUCUAGCAGCAACCCCCUCCUCACUGCGUCCUCAUCUGUACUUUGUCCCCGCGGCCACCACUCGGUUCCUCAGUACUCAGGAGGCUCCCAUCACUUUAUAAGUAACUGUGUAUUGGUCCUGUUAAUUUCAGUAUCUAUACUUUUGUAAUAGACAAAUCAUUUCGUAUCAUCCCUAGUUCAGAAUCAAAGGAGGGAGAAGCCCAUAAACUCUGCUCCUCUCUGGAUGAAAAGUUAUUCUGCCAGGCCUACCACAUGGGUUUCCUGAGCUAGUCAGUUGCAACCAGGUGGUCCUGGGGCUUACAGUGUGACUUACUAGCUAAGACCAUGUCCCUCCUCGCAGAAUGGGAGCCGGGACUGCUUGGCAGGGGGAUAUGAGUGUGACUGACAGUUUGAAGAUUGCUCUCUUGUCAGUACAUUCACGUGGGACUGUUCUCAUGUCUCAUAAGGCAGAACUGCCAAUAGUACAAGACCUUAGUCUACCAAAAAGAAAACAAAAUCCACACACACACACACACACACACACACACACACAGACACACACACACAAAACCCUCUUUAAUACACAUAUAUUGUUUUUUUUUUCUUUUGAACAAAUUAGAUUGUAUUGUCCAGUUUCCAAAGUCACCUUUAAAGACCAAGAGCCUUUUUAAGGCAGAAGUAGUAGUGCUCAUGAAAUAUUCUGUCCAUACUGUGCCAUCUCCUAGGCCCUUGCAGUGAGGUACGUGGCUAUUUCUAGCCACUGGGUUUUGGAAGGAAGAGAAGUGUGUUUUUCUUUGGAUGAAGUGUAGCAUAGCCAGUGUGUGACAAUGCUCCAUUUCUACCUUUCCUCGCUAUAGUGACCAAGAGGCUCACACACUGCAUGUGAUCAGCUGUAUGCUGGUGACGCUUCAUCAGCAUAAGUCCCUGGGGGUUUGUGGAGCAGAGCUCCACUGACCCACAUUAGAAACAGAGCAUGAGUGAGGAAGGAAGAAAACUUCCUGGUUAUAAGCCACUGAGAUUUCUUGGUGAUUGUUGCCAAAGCAUAGCCUGGCCUGUCCUGACUUACUCACAGACAGAUCUGGGAGACAUCACAGGAGGACACCACUGUGAAUAGAGUUGAUCUUCUGUGGACCUUCCAGCUGAUCAGACUUCCAACUCUGCAAACCUAAUGAGUCUCUCUGCUUCCCUGGUUAUUUUAGGGGCUCUCCUACCACAUGGAAAGUACAGCAUCCCUUUGUGCAAGAUCCAGAUUCCAAUUUCUUCUUUCUCUUCUUGAACAAUCAUACUUAUUGAGGCUUAAUUUACAUAUGUAAAAUUCAUCCUGUUUAGUGUAGGGUUCCGUGGGAUUCGGGUAAGUGCAUAUGGUAGUGUAGCCACCAAUACAAUUUGUAGGAGAGCUCCAACCAGUAUCCACCCCCACCCACCUCCAAUUUCCUUGUGCCUCUUUGGAGUCCAGCCCUCCCCCAACCACAGCCCUUGGCAACUACUGAUCUAAGGCCCAUCCUUUUAGGUUUGUGUUUUCCAAAAUGGCAUACAAAUGGAACCACACAGUAUGUAGCCUUUAAAGCAGAAAACCUUUUUAUUUUGGAGUACUUACAGAUUGACAGAAAAGUUGCAAAGAUAGUACAAAGUUCCUCACCCAGCUUCUGCUAAUGUUAACAUCUUACAUAGCUGGAGUAUUUUGACAUAGUAGUCAAAAUUAGGAAAUUAACAUUAGCACAAUACUAUCAACGAAACUAUAGACUUUUUUUGGAUUUCAUCCACUUUCCCACUAAUAGUCUUUUUCUGUUCCAUGAUCCCAAAUGGCAUUUGGUCAUCAUGUCUCCUUAAUUUCCUCCCAUCUGUGGUGGUUUCUUGGUCUUGUUUUUCAUGACCUUGACACUUGUGAGCUACACUGGUCAGGCAUUUUGUAGAAUGUCACUCAAUUUGAGUUUGUUUGAUAUUUUUCUUAUGACUAGACCAGGUUAUGAGUUUUGGAAAGAAUACUACAGAGAUGAAGUUCCCUGUCCAUUGCAUCAUAUCAGGGGUACAUGAUAGCAACAUGAAUCAUCCUGUUGUAUGGGUCAAGAGUUGCCUCCUGUUCACAGCUAAAUAAUAUCUCACUGGAUGCAUGUACCACAGUUCUUCAUUCUCCAGGAGAAGGAUAUUUAAGUUCCUAGUUUUUGAAGAUUAUGAGUAAAGCUGCUACUAACAUUCACAUAGAGGUUUUUGUGUGAACAUGUAUCUUUUCUUCUCUAGGGUGAAUUCCUAAGCGUGGCAUCGCCAGGUUGUAUGGUAGCAAAGCCUGUUCAACUACCACAAUCAUCCUCUGCCCUUCACCCACAGAUCAACUUUAAAAUGCAACUAAAAUGAUCCAUUCAACUGAGAAGAACCCCACACCCCUUCACCCCCACCCAGUACCCAGCAAGCUAGUUCCCUGAGCCUCCAGGCUGGAUGGAGCAAGUCUACCCUCCUGCUUCUCUGCUUCGUCUCCUUACUGCGGUUGCUGUGGGGCUCUCACGGCUGCGAACACACGUGACCCAGGAGGAAACGAGUCCUUAAUCUACGUUCCACACAGGGCAGCUCCACUCAGGAAUCCUUAAUCCCGUGCUCACAAGGUGACUCCAGGGUGCUUAUUACUAGGGAGACACAGAAGAUUUGGGGAAACUGGAACCCCCUUCUCUGGGGUUGCAACACCUUGGGCCAGAGGGAGAUGCCUACGAAUAGGCCUCAGGGGCCAGGCAGAGCACCAAGGGUGUGCUUAUCAUGAAAUGGGGGAAGGGCAGGCAGGAGAUGAGGGGUGGUUCCUCCUAGGAAAACUGUGGGCUAUGCUUGAAGGAAGUGCGAUCUGAGGGGUGGGUAGGGGUGUGAUGGCAGCCAGGGGUAAGGGGACAGGGGCAUCCCACGGGGAGUGUGCAGCAAAUGCACAGGCCCAGCAUGGAGAGGGAGGGCUUCUGGUGCAGCAAGCUUUUCUGUGUAUGUGUGGGAUGAGGUGGGGAGGCUGUGUGGAGUGGAGAGGGGAGGGCCUAGGGCUGUAUCCCUGUAUCCUCAAAGACCAUACAUGCCAGGCUGAAAAGUCACCAAAUGAGAUUCUUACAAAUGAGACUCUGUGGACAGUUUAUGCCGGCCAAGACAUGAGCAGAGCUGCUCCAGCCACAGAAUACGCUGAGUCCCAGCCCCCUUUCGCCUUCAGGUCUCUUCUUGAGCAGUGGAGGAGGAGGAGGAGGAGGAUGCCUUCCAGUCCCCCAGGGCCAUCUUGCAGAGGACAGUGGCUACUGCUGGACCAGGUCCUUCCCUGAGGGCACACUGCAGAGCCAAGAAGCCGCAUUCCUGUGUUGGGGGAAGUGGCCAAAGGAGACCCUUCCAAAGCCGGAGACUGAGGCUACAAGAAUGCAGCAGAGGCCAGCUGGGCAGAGAGGACCAAUUCCAGGAUAAUCAUCAACGCUACUCCUCUCAGGGCCGCUGGCUCACUGACAGGGGUGUGUGGCCUCUCAGCAUACCACAGGUGACACAGGGAGGGGAGGAGAGGUGCCAGCCCUGGGGACUCAACACCCGUGAAGUGUCUGAACCACUUACAUGCCCACAUGCAGAACUUGUUCCUAUCUCUCCCCAAGCCAACAAAAGUCCAUGCCUUCCUCUCCUGCACUGUAUGUGGGAUGCAUGGGAUCUCGUCAGUAGUUUCAUGCAGGUGGGGCUCGUCUUUGUUCUCCUCAUCUGUCCCUCUCCAGCCUCAACGUCCAUGGUACCUCCCCACUGAGUCCCCACAACAGACUCUCUUAACGUGCUUUUGCAUGUCAAAUAUCUCUGCCAUUUAAUUAAAAAAAAAAAACAAAAAACAAAAACAGUUAAUAUCACAAAGGACUCCAGAAAUACAUGCUUUUGAAUUCCAGCCACAGAGAAGACAAGAGGAGACACUGGCAUCUGCAGAUAUGGCUGCUUUCCAUAAGAAAGGUUCGUGCAGUGAGACCAGCCCAGCUCCUCAGCCCAUGUGAGAACACAUACCCCACCACACAAGGGCUGAGGGACAGUGUCUUUGGUUGGCUGGGGCUUCAUCCAGAGCUCAUUGGAAGGUGGCGUGGCAAGAAGGGGAAGUCUUCCUGCAGCCCCCUUACGAGGGCGACAAAGGCAGGGAGUACAUGAGGAGGCAUUUAAGCUUUGCUAGCCUCCCGCCGCCUCUUAGGCUACAGGACUCGUUACUGCAUCCUCAUACAGAAUAGGUUGAUGAUUUGAACUUGGAUCUCACAGUAGCCCAGUGACACAUCAGCAGCCAUAAUGCAGACGUCAGCAGGAGAGCGGCCAGCCGGAAAAUUGCUCCUAGACAAUCGUGUAUUGUUAGAUCCACAUAGAGAAUACAUUCAGACCCUUUAUACCAAAUAAGAGUAAAUAAUUAUACCAAUAUAAACAGGGCCUCUGACCCUUUCAUUUUAUUAAAAUGGCACGUAAAUAUGAAAACAGCAUACUGAUCACUUCAUACGUCUGCGUGUCCCCAGGUGUGUGGCCGAGGAGUGGCACGAGGGCUCCCUCCGAGAGGCUGCAGAAUCAUGCAUUGAGCAAUUCAUGUUCUUUAUCGGUUUUCCCAACAGCAUCAGGAUUUGACAGUGGGUCGAGGUCAGCAAAGAGGCUGAACCAGGCAGUCAGGUCCGAGGAGGCAGCCUUGGCAGGUUCUGGGGAGAGAACAGGCAACAUGAAUACACGUACCUUCCAAAGGCCCACCUCUGCCAUGCUGCAUACAGGUGGGUCCAGGCUCGUCUGGAAAAGGGAGGAUACUACUCAGUCAGACGAAUCCUAUUACACUCUGUCUCUAAAACUAGCUAGGGGAUUCCACAUCUCCCUGUUGGCUAUCGGAGAAACAUUUCUAAACCAUGGCCUGAAGCUCAGUGAAGAACAAGCCCAGUGUUAAUCCACACCUGCACCCCCAUCCCAGCGGAUGGCACGGCCCAACAAGUUGCCUAAAACCUCAGAUGGUGCUGCUUCAACGCAAGUAGGAAAUAUCACUGUGAUUUCAGAAAUCGAAUGAAUGGCUGAGGAAUGGCUGUGAUUUCAGAAAUCAAAUGAAUGGCAUGGUGCCUUCCAGUGUCCACUGGAGGAAUCUUUUCGAAUCUGCUGGGUCAAGGGAAGUAUGAUGGUCACUCUUUUCAGGCUUUAGGGCAUCAGGCUGAGAGGAGGGUUUCUCCUUUCUCAGGGUCACUGCCCUCAUCCACCAUCUCCUGUUAGAGGGAGGAGGCCUUUGACAUGCCUCCCUUCCUCCCCCCUCACACCCCUCCCACUUCACCAUCUAUGGAUGCUCCCGUCAGCUGUUCUUUAACUGAACCACCCGCCCUAACUUCCCGAAUGCCACAAUUACAGAGCCAAAUUAUUUUCCAGAUGAGGAGAGUAUUUUCAAAAGAGUGCCUCAUGCAAGUGAUUUCUACACAAGUUGGGGCCUCUUUAUAUAAAUCAUUCCACAUGAGGAUCGAAGUUCAUUGGCUUGGACGACCCAGGCUUUUUUCCCCUUCCCCAACAGGUGGGAGUAUCAAAAGCACGAAGAAAACGUCUGACAGGUUAUCCUUCUAGCUGAGAGCAACAAGGAAUGUGCUUGCCAUCUGGCUGAAAGAGUCUCGGAAAAUACUGGUGGGACAGGCUGCUACAAGGUUAUGCCAGAGGAACAGGACAGUGGUUGUGGGCUUAUCCUACAGCAACAAGGGCUUUGGUCUUUUCACGAAAAUGGCACUGAAAUGUUAAGAUAAGGUGCCAAUCAUGGUAUAGUUCUGAUUCCUGUCUUUUGUUUUUCCCCAUAAUCUCUCAUAGGUAUAUUACUUUAUCAUGAGAUAAUCAACACAUCCGUUACAGAGAUAAAAUGACUACAAGCAAUGCUCACUGGCAAGAGGCAAGUUAUUGUGUAACAUUAAUCGAUCUCCAUGUACAAUCAACCUGCAGAACACUUGGCUUAGUUUGAUACGAUGAACUGAGACCCAAGAGAUCUCAAUAUAGGUUGGUUGGGGAGUGGAGUGGGGAAUAAUUUUUAAAAAGGGAGUAACCAACUCAACGUUUAGUCAUGUAGGAGUCCACACAGCAAACUGUAUGGGGCAAGACUGAUUUAAAGAGGAUUAGCCAUCUCGAUUCUUGAUAGGGAAUAUCAAGAUCUCUUAAAGAGAUCUCCAGCAAAAAUACACUACGUCACUACAUCCACUUCCUCUUUUCCUCCUAACCUCCCAAAGGUGUAGGGCGGCCUCAGAGGGUAGCUGUGGCCUUGCUAGGAGGAGUCAGGUGACUGUACUUUGGUGCAGCCCUCACCUUCCCUAGACCUCUACUGCCAGAGUUUGGGAAACCAGGGGCAACUGUUUGCACAAUACCUACAAGAACAUCCUGGGAAUGCUUCUGGAUGAUAAAGACACUCCCUGCAACUUCCUGUGGUUAACACGGAAAGUGGGUGAUGACCAAAGGAAGAGAGAGACAGCUGCAAAUACAGAGAUCUUCAGUCAAGCACAGGUUCUCUUUGGGGACCUGUCUCAGAAAAGAACAGUCCCACGAGCUUGAAAGGCCCUCCUCUGACAGCUAAGUAAACCUGGCUCUUUGUUAGGUGGAGGCAAUGGUAGUUUCAGUAAAAGACAGCAAACUUCACUGGCCUUUCCUACCUUGCUGGAACCAUUCAACCUUGGGCAGCACACAAUCACAUGGGGAGAGGUUAUUUGGUUCCUCCUCCUUUGGUUUAAUAAGGGGAAUUAUUAGUUGGGACACUGGGCCAGAAUAAAAGAACAUAAUUCCUAGGAUCAUGCAAAACUCUCCACCCUUGUAGCCCAUGCUUUGUACCCUAGGUGCUCAAAUAGAAAUUAGUAAAGAAAAGACAGAAAAUAGUGUUAGGCUAGUUGAAUGGAAGGCAAUUGUCAUUUCCAGGGAAUAAAACACUAUAUUACCUUUCAUUGCAGGGCUGUUGUCAUUUGGACUGCUUGCCUGUGGUGCUGGCCAUGGAGUAGGAGGAGGAUUGACAUUGUUCUCUGACCAGCCUAAUAUUCAAAACCAGAGGUUGUUAGGUCGAGGGAAGAACAGGCACACUGCCCUACCAGGCACUGGGCACACACACGGUCUCACCCAUAGUGGCCUCCAAAGAAAGGGAAAAGGGUGAUAAGACCCUUCUGCCAUGUUCUUCAUACCUGGGGUAUAUUUUAUGGGACAGUAGCUCUAUGCCCAUUUUUCUUCUCAAGUAACAUCAUUUCAUGGUCACACCAAAGAUUAUCCGUAGCAUUCCAAGGAAAUCAAGUGCCUUGUUUUUCUGUCAUAAAUGGAGAAAGCUUAAAAACAAAGUGAACAAUAGUAAAUAUAGUGAUAUAACUAAUAAACUGUGGGUCUUCUCCACUUCA